rnacentral:lncRNA from 1 species
UGCUCCGGGCUGAGGGACUGGUCUUGAGCUUCGGGUACGCUUCCCCCUGGAGGUCGAUAAAGAAGGAUGAUGUACCUGGAGGGAAAAGGGUAUCUCAAGGAGGGGACUUCAAUGGUGUAAUUUCCUCCCAAAAUACCACGCUCCGGGAACAAGGUUUUUUCCAGUCCCAGAUUAAUGAAACCUUCCAUCUCGCACUUCUUAUAGAAACAUAUAGAAACAUAUUGUCAGGAUGUGUUAUGGAUCUGUGUAUAUCCCUUGUAAUGGGACUUGCCCUCUCAUCUGAAGGUGAGCACUGGGUGGUCCUACGGUAGCUAUACCCAUUCAGGCGUGGCGGAAAAGACUUCCGUGCAGCCAACUGGCCCUUGAGUACUGCAGCACCAAGCAGCUUCAGUAGGCAAAUUGUUUUAAUCCCCCCUCCUAGGCCGUGGUCUCCCUUUUGUUCAAAAGCUGCUUCUUCCUGCUAGCUAAGUGAAGAAGUCCGGAUCCUUAGCUAUGUCACAUUUUUCCAACGUAUGUGAAGGUGUUUCUAUUUCAACCAAUCAUGUAGGAAGUGGUUGGAUGCACCCUACCGCCAUGAUUUGCUCACUAUUUCCAGAUGCGGUGGUAUUGAACCAUCAUUUGAUUGCCAGCAAAUUUGGUACCUUCUUAGCAAGAUACCCAGGUCUUGGGUCGUCUCUUAAAUAGUACUAUGCUCCGUGGAGCCUGAAACACCUGAGUUUAUAAUUCACUAAGGCCUUUUAUUAACUGUGAAAUUCAUAGCAAGCUACUACCCUCUGCAAGCCUCUUUUCUCGGCCCCCCCCGAUGAUGGGUGUGACCUUGCAAGGCUGUGGGGUUAAACCGGAUAACUGUAAAAUGCCAAGCACGAUGUCUGGCACAUAAGAGAUUCCCUCACAUCCCAUUGGACGCUUGACUGAAUGAAAUCGCCAAGUUCAAAUUCAUUUUUUAACAUUUUGUUUUUUGGGAUACUUACAAGUUACUCAACUUCUCUGGUUGAUUGGAUAUUUAAUGUGAAAGGAAAUGACACGAUUCUGUAACAUUUUUAGAUGCUUAAGGGAAAUGUGAAAUACAAAUGGUGCCCCAUUAAAUACAAGAUAAAACUCGCUUAAAAAAAUACUUUUGCAAACGAAAGAAAUCCAUGAAUGUUGAGGAAGCAAAGUUGUAGUUUCUCAGAUCCUGCUGACUUUUCAUCUUAUUU